GCAGGUGUGGCCAAGCGGCUAAGGCAUUCGGCUGCAACCCGAAGAUCCCCGGUUCAAAUCCGGGCACCUGCU
rnacentral:tRNA from 1 species